rnacentral:lncRNA from 1 species
CCCCGCAGCUGAGGCCCAGAGAAGGGAAUGACUUGCCGAGGGAGGACACAUGAAGUCGUAAACUACAAGUGCAACGGUCUGGGCGAGUCCAGAGCCUGCUUUAGGUUGAACAAGAACAUCAACUCUGGAGCUACUGAGAAAAGCAUCUUAAACUGUGUGAAAGCCUUUACAGCAACACAGAGAAAUGAUUGUCGUCACCCGACGUCUCCUCAGUCCUUCCUGCAUUAAAAAAAUAAAAGAAAAGAAGGACUUAAAAGUUUCAUUCAUUUAUUUAAUUUGAUGCUAAAAUCCCUGAAAAACAUCACUCAUUGCAUCAGCUAUUCCUUGGGGCACGGUAUCAGACCCUCAAUUCUCAUAAAGGCACCUAUAGGUCAGAAGUAUCUACAGAGGAAGGAGGCCAGAGAGCAGGGUCAGGACACAAAACAAGCAAAGAUGUUUUCUAAAAGAGCGUGUGGUUUGCUGGUGCCAACAGGACAGCUUUUUGAGUGAAUUCGGUGGAAACUAAAUCUUCCACAACACCAGGGAGAGGGGAGCAGCUAUGGGCUAUGAAUAUCAAUUAAAUUCUCUCCACAUCAAUCGUAUAAAACUCAUCAAGGAUCGGAGACGAUGGCAGCAAUCAGAACAAUGCCGCCCCCGACAGAAAGGUGAACUCUAAGACUAUCAGUUGUCGUCUUCCCUCGCCUGAGCAGCGAGGACAGGAAACACUGAGUAGAGGCUCACUAACCACGCAAGAGCAGGAGCUGUGAGGAAGGAGGAAGGGAGAGGAGAGCCCAACAACCCCAGCUGGCUUGGGCAUUUCGAAUGGCUAGGCAGUACUGUCUAUCUCAGAAGCCCCG